rnacentral:rRNA from 1 species
GACGAACGCUGGCGGCGUGCUUAACACAUGCAAGUCGAACGGAAAGGCCCUGCUUUUGUGGGGUGCUCGAGUGGCGAACGGGUGAGUAACCCGUGAGUUACCUGCCCUUGACUUUGGGAUAACUUAAGGCAACUGGGGCUAAUACCGGAUAGGAGCUCCUGCUGCAUGGUGGGGGUUGGUAAGUUUCGGCGGUUGGGGAUGGACUAGCGCCUUAUCAGCUUGUUGGUGGGGUAGUGUCUUACCAAGGCUUUGACAGGUAGCCGAGCUGGGCGGGGGAGCGGCUACGCCACAACUGGGAUGCGGCACAGACUCGUAUGGGACGCAAGAGUGGAGAAUAGAGUAUAGUGGGAGGAGGCCUGGCGCAACAACGCCGCGUGCGGUAUGACGGGCUGCGGGUAGGAUUCCGCUGUCGCCUGUGACGAGACGUGAGUGACGGUAAUGGGUAAAGAAGCACCGGCUAACUACGUG